rnacentral:rRNA from 1 species
UACGGAGGAUGCGAGCGUUAUCCGGAUUUAUUGGGUUUAAAGGGUGCGUAGGCGGACUGUCAAGUCAGCGGUAAAAUACGGGGGCUCAACCCCGGCCCGCCGUUGAAACUGGCUGGCUUGAGUUGGGGAAAGGCAGGCGGAAUGCGCGGUGUAGCGGUGAAAUGCAUAGAUAUCGCGCAGAACUCCGAUUGCGAAGGCAGCUCACUGGACUGCAACUGACACUGAGGCUCGAAAGUGUGGGUAUCAAACAGG